UGAAACUAGGAUCUUGUGCAUGUCAUGCAUGUUGUUUUUAUCAUUGAGCUACAGCUCUCCCCCUAGCUAACUGCAGCUCAGGAGAGACAUUGCUUCACAUGAAGUUCUGCAAUAAUCUUGGCAAAGAAGACAGGGAACAAAACUUAUCCCCUGGAUCGUAGCUUAUCCCUCAACCCACAAAACAAGCCUUUUUGAGCUCCAUGUCAAAAAUGAUAUGUUCAUCUUUCUUGAGACCGAACACAGUUCCUGUGAUAGGGAAUGUCGAGUUGCAUGGUUGAUGCUAAUACAAAGUGCUGGAAUUCAGCUGAUACACAGCCUCCCAACUUCAAUCAUCAUUGCUUUGAAUUACUCGAUAAUGUUGAAAAGUAAAUGAGGAAAUUGCUUUGAAAACUGCUCCUAGAUAUUU